rnacentral:lncRNA from 1 species
CAUUGUUUAACGAAGACGUCUCGUUUGUUUUGUGUUCCACACGUGUCUUUAGGCGCCCGAUUCGCUGUGCCGGGUGGGUUUGCUAUCUCCAAGACCAAUGCUCCCUACAUCCUGUGGGAAAUGACAAGCCAGUGAGACAUUCGAGCUGCCCAGCAACUGCAGAUGGUGCAGUCACAUCAAGGAUACAACACCUGCUGUAACUCCUGUGUAUGAGACAGAUAAACGUGAUCGGAAGCACACAUCACAUUCUAUACAGGCCAGCAUCCAUUUGAAUACUAUGUGACCUUGGAGCUUCUGGCGAACAUUCAAGCUGAAGAAGCACCUGCAACCCGCACAGACAAGAGGCCAGUUGAGUGCCCUUUAUGCCCUCAGAGCUUCUUACAAAAGGGCAAUCUGAACCAACAUCUGCGUGCCCACACAGGCGAG